rnacentral:rRNA from 1 species
GAUCCUGGCUCAGAACGAACGCUGGCGGCAGGCUUAACACAUGCAAGUCGAACGCACCGCAAGGUGAGUGGCAGACGGGUGAGUAACGCGUGGGAACCUUCCCUUUGGUACGGAAUAACUUCGGGAAACCGAAGCUAAUACCGUAUAAGUCCUUCGGGAGAAAGAUUUAUCGCCAAAGGAUGGGCCCGCGUUGGAUUAGCUAGUUGGUAGGGUAAAAGCCUACCAAGGCGACGAUCCAUAGCUGGUCUGAGAGGAUGAUCAGCCACACUGGGACUGAGACACGGCCCAGACUCCUACGGGAGGCAGCAGUGGGGAAUAUUGGACAAUGGGCGCAAGCCUGAUCCCAGCCAUGCCGCGUGAGUGAAGAAGGCCUUAGGGUUGUAAAGCUCUUUUGGCGGGGACGAUAAUGACGGUACCCGCAGAAUAAGCCCCGGCUAACUUCGUGCCAGCAGCUGC